UUGAGAAGUAAGUUUCGCCAAUUGAGCUUGAAUGGUAGCAAAACCCAUGUCUUACUUCUCUAGUACUUGAAAUCAAGGAAACAAAACUAAAUCAAAUAUCAUAAGUAAAAAUAAAAGACACAAAUAGAAACAAAGUCAGUAACUAAAACAAAAAACAUGAAAAAGAAACAACAGGGGAUUAGCAAAGUUGCUAAUCCCCGGCAACGGCGCCAAAAAUUUGGUGCGAAAAUUACCUUAACACACAAAUUAAACCCUCUUGUUGUCAAUUGUAGUAAAGAAU
rnacentral:lncRNA from 1 species